CUCUCUCUCCGUCUCCCCCUCUCCCACCCCCCCUAAUAUUCCAUCCUCCAGAUCGGUAACAUAAAAUCAUUAAUAUAAUCAGUAAAAAAAGUCAACAACUAAUUCCUGUGGUACUCCACUAGUCACCUUUUUGCACAAAUAAAAGCUGAUUAUUAUUUCCUGUUCACCGUUUUCUGUACCAACCAGUUUUUUGUCCAUUCCAAGAUGCUUCCUCCGAUAAUUUAGACACCAACUUCCUAUUUGGCAUCUAGUCAGUUGCCUUUGGAAAUCUAAAAUCACAACAUCUGUAGGUACCCCUUCAUUAUAUUCAGCUUUAUUAUAUUCAGCUUUCCUAAAUGUUUAGCUAUUUUUAUUUGAUUAUUGAUGCUGGCAUUUUGUCAGUAAUAGCUGUUCAAGUAACUGAUCUCUAGUACCCUGCUGACCGUUAUCCUUUAUUGGAGGAAGUUACAUGGCUGUUUUCAUCCUCCUGCUUACCUCCUGGAAGUUACCAAUUUAUUGGAAAUUUCAACCAAUGGGUCCACCAUCUCUGCAACUACUUCUUUUAAAACUCUAGUGUGCAGUGCGUUGGGACCUGGGGACUU